rnacentral:rRNA from 1 species
UCGAACGGAAAGGCCCUGCUUGCAGGGUACUCGAGUGGCGAACGGGUGAGUAACACGUGGGUGAUCUGCCCUGCACUUCGGGAUAAGCCUGGGAAACUGGGUCUAAUACCGGAUAGGAGCCAUUUUUAGUGUGAUGGUUGGAAAGUUUUUUCGGUGUAGGAUGAGCUCGCAGGCCGUAUAAGCUUGUUGGUGGGGUAAUGGUCUACCAAGGCGGCGACGGGUAGCCGGCCUGAGAAGGUGGACGGCCACAUUGGGAAUGAGAUACGGCCCAGACUCCUACGGGAGGCAGCAGUGGGGAAUAUUGCACAAUGGGCGCAAGCCUGAUGCAUCGACGCCGCGUGGGGGAUGACGGCCUUCGGGUUGUAAACUCCUUUCGCUAGGGACGAAGCUUUUUGUGACGGUACCUAGAUAAGAAGCACCGGCUAACUACGUGCCAGCAGCCGCGGUAAUACGUAGGGUGCGAGCGUUGUCCGGAAUUACUGGGCGUAAAGGGCUCGUAGGUGGUUUGUCGCGUCGUCUGUGAAAUUCCGGGGCUUAACUCCGGGCGUGCAGGCGAUACGGGCAUAACUUGAGUACUGUAGGGGUAACUGGAAUUCCUGGUGUAGCGGUGAAAUGCGCAGAUAUCAGGAGGAACACCGAUGGCGAAGGCAGGUUACUGGGCAGUUACUGACGCUGAGGAGCGAAAG